rnacentral:rRNA from 1 species
UAAAAUGGGAGGUAAAUUUCUCCUAAGGCUAAAUAACGGCGAGAGACCGAUAGCGAACAAGUACCGUGAGGGAAAGAUGAAAAGAACUUUGAAAAGAGAGUUAAAUAGUACGUGAAAUCGUUGAAAGGGAAACGAUUGAAGCCAGUCGUACCUGCGGGUAAUCAGCCUUUUGGGCAUGAUUCUGUGGAGCGUGAGGAGUUAAACGCCUUCAUGCCUGCAUAUUCGUGUACUUUGGGUGUACUUGCCUGUGUGGUUAGUUAACAUCAAUUUUGGUUAUCAUAAAAUGGCUGGAGGAAUGUAGCUUCGAUUUCGAUUGAAGUGUUAUAGCCUUCGGCAGAUGUGAUGAUCGGGAUUGAGGAUUGCAACGGAUACCCUUCGGGGCUACCUGUCUGGUCUCUGAUCGUUGCUCUGGUGCCGAAAGCGUGCUUACGGUUAUCAAAGUCGAUGGACAAUAGGUUAGAACGGGUUAA